GCGAAGAAGAGGAAAUGGUUGAAAUGAAGCACCUUGCAGCGGACAUAGAAGAACGGCACCGACGCCAUGGGACCGGAAGUCCACCUUGACAACCUUGGGCUUCUUCGGAGGCGUCGUCCUGUUCGCCGUGGUCUUCGUUGUCCUCCUGAGCAAGAUUGGGCCUUCGAAAGGUGCAGCUAAAGCCGAGAUGCUGCGUGACGACCCGAUCGAGCGUGCGAGGAAGCUCGGUUGCCAGUGCACCCCUGUCGCCGGGACGGUGCUCGGCCCAGGCGAACGGCCCUACUACUGCGUCUGCCCCAAGCCGAAUCCCAGCGGUGGCACGCAGUCGAAUCAUUCUACCAAGGUUCACAAUAGUUCGCGCCCCACUGGUGGCCCUGAAAACACGGAGAAACCGGCGUGACGAGGCACUUCGGCGUCAGUGCCCUCCUGCGACCACGCGCGCUUCCAGCUUGGGAAAAAAACGCUGAAACGAAGGCGGUGGUUCUGCGGUUGGUACUGGUUGCAGCCAAGAGCAAAAAUAAAACGCAGCGUCAAAAGACCUUGCUCAUAAUGCGCGC